UUUAAUUCGAAGCAACGCGCAGAACCUUACCAACCCUUGACAUGGCAGGACCGCUGGAGAGAUUCAGCUUUCUCGUAAGAGACCUGCACACAGGUACUGCAUGGCUGUCGUCAGCUCGUGUCGUGAGAUGUUCGGUUAAGUCCGGCAACGAGCGCAACCCACGUCCCUAGUUGCCAGCAUUCAGUUGGGCACUCUAUGGAAACUGCCGAUGAUAAGUCGGAGGAAGGUGUGGAUGACGUCAAGUCCUCAUGGCCCUUACGGGUUGGGCUACACACGUGCUACAAUGGUGGUGACAGUGGGUUAAUCCCCAAAAGCCAUCUCAGUUCGGAUUGUCCUCUGCAACUCGAGGGCAUGAAGUUGGAAUCGCUAGUAAUCGCGGAACAGCAUGCCG
rnacentral:rRNA from 1 species